GGUGAUUGAACAAAGAUGGUGGGCGGUUUGAGGUCCGUGUCGUCGAUUUACAACAAAGGGUCUCAUGCAGCUAAGGACUCCGGGAGGGGUCGAGGUCGAGGUCGAGGCAGGGGUCGAGGGAACGGUGCAUUGAGGUCACGGUUGCCUGCAGCUGAGACCUCCGGCAGGGCUCAAGGGAAUGGUGUUGCGAGGUCACCGUCGCAUGUCGCUUCUUCAUCGUCUGAGGAGGACGACGAUGUACCUUCCACGCAUGACUCUGGUGAUGACGAGGAGGUAGAGGUGGAGCAGGAGCAGGAGUAGGAGGAGGCAGCAGGGGGUUCCGCUUCCUCUUGUUGGUCGAGUAUUUGGUUGCGAGGUCCCUCGACCCUCCCUAAGCGACCGAUAUCUUUUGAGAGACACCCGCUGAUUCGACCCACUGGAAAAAGGGGUUGGACGGUGGUCGCUCCAGGUGAUCACAAAUGCCUUCCCAAUGGCAUCCUGGGUCUUUUGUGCAGGCUACACUUCCCUGGCAUGGUAGCGUUUGGCGGUUCCAUGGAGCCGACGUACACGUGGGAGCACUACAUCGCCUUCCCCGAUUUACCAGAUCGGGAUGGUAGGGUAUUCACCAACAAGGCAUAGCGGGUGGUGGCCGAACUAUGAGAUUUCUAUAGAUGCCAGGAGGGAUAUGAGAACAGGUCGGCCAGUAUGGCACACAAAGCCCGUUUUAAACUUGUGAAUGAUAUACAUUAUGAGGCGCGCAUCCAGGCCAUCGUGACAUACCACGCUCACUUCCUUGGAGUGAAAGUGCCAAAAAUUGAGGCAAGAAACAUGAGGCUGACACAAGAACAAUACCUGCAGGUGCCUCCAUGGUGGAUCGCCCAGAAUCUCCAGUGCUAGACACACAUGGUGGACAAAUGGUGCUCGGAGGGUUGGUAGGAGACGCACAACGCUUGCCGGGAGCGGCAUUUGAUGAUGCCAGGCGCACCACACUAUCAAGGCAACCUUAGCCUCGACGAAUACGCGACUAGAUGGUCGUCGUCACAUGGGCUUUGGCCCAUAUGGGGAAGGCGAUGUCCGACGUCAACUACUACCAGGAGGACCUCCCCUCGGCAUACAACAAUGCGGCCAUCCACAGCCACCUCACUGAGUACACACCGAUGGCAAGGGAGGUCCAUGGGCCACAGUAUGAUCCGAGCAUCCAGGGCCUUGAUGGAGAAGUCGUCAUGAUGGUGGGAGGAGGCAAGAAGCACGGGCAGUACUGGAUUGGGGACAACACACUCGUCACGGCCACUUUUCCCAAACUCUCCCAGAUUCGAGCGAGGAGCACGAGCUCAAGCCCAGCCAUACGCCUACGGCCGGACACUGCACAGUUUUGGAUGGAGGCACUACAUGUUAUUUCAGUUUCAUUCGUUGUUCAUUGUUUUUUACAUACAUUUGCUUUUCAUUGUAACAAUGGGGUGAAAUAUUGUAGGCCCAGCCAGAAGAAGAGAGUAGGCUACGGGAGGAGAUGGCACAGAGGAUGGAGGCUGAUCGACAGAGGAUGGAAGCCGAGUGGCAGAGGAUGGAGCUGAUGUUUCAGUGGAUACAAAGUCUUGGCGGGAGAAUGGGUCAACCUCUGUACCGAUUCUAUUUCCUCCUACUCCACCUCCUCCUAUAACUACUCUUAAUCAACCGGCGGCAUCGAAUGAUGGGCCUCAGGACCCAGAUCUGUCGCCGUGGCAGCAGUGGCCACCUCAGUGACUACUUGUGCUUGUGGACCGCUUGUAUGGACUUGCUAUGUAUGGACUAGCUUGUAUUUGCAUUUGUGGACUACUGGUGGUUGUGGAUGAACGAUACUAAUGUUUUAUUUGCAUUUGUGGAUUAUUUGUGACUA